rfam:Triticum aestivum genome assembly, contig: Triticum_aestivum_CS42_TGACv1_scaffold_569524_7AS
AUACUACUCCCUUCGAUCGGAAUUACUUGUCGCAGAAAUGGAUGUAUCUAGACGUAUUUUAGCUUUAGAUACGUCCAUUUCCGAGACAAGUAAUUCCGAACGGAGGGAGUAAAAG